ACACAGACUUUUUUCAAAGUCAUGAAUAGUUUCAUGAACUUAAGA
rfam:Phaethon lepturus contig122254, whole genome shotgun sequence.